rnacentral:rRNA from 1 species
UACGUAGGCAGCAAGCGUUGUUCGGAGUUACUGGGCGUAAAGGGUGCGUAGGCGGUCCUAUAAGUAUGGUGUGAAAUCUCCCGGCUUAACUGGGAGGGUGCGCUAUAGACUGUGGGUCUAGAGUGUGGGAGAGGAAAGUGGAAUUCCUGGUGUAGCGGUGAAAUGCGUAGAUAUCAGGAGGAACACCGGUGGUGUAAACGGCUUUCUGGACCAUAACUGACGCUGAGGCACGAAAGCGUGGGUAGCAAACAGG